rnacentral:lncRNA from 1 species
GCGCGCGCACACACACACACACACACACACACACACGCACACGCACACGCACGCACAGACACACGCGUGCACACACACACGCGUGCACACACACACACACAAUGCUGCCGCGGCACCUACCAGGCGGGCAGCCUCGGCCCAGGAGAGCUCUGGUGUUGCAGCAUUGGUGUUGGACAGAGGAGGACAUUUGUCAGUGCCAUUCAUCUUGGAAGAGAGAAAAUAUUUC